GACAAACGCUGGCGGCAUGCCUAACACAUGCAAGUCGAACGGACAGAACAGGGAAGCUUUUCGGAGUGGAACUGGAAAGUUAGUGGCGGAUGGGUGAGUAACGCGUGGACAACCUACCUUGUAAAGGGGAAUAACCUCGAGAAAUCGAAGCUAAUACCCCAUAAUAACCUUGCUUCGCAUGAAGUAAGGAGGAAAGGCGGCCUUAGCGCUGUCGAUACAAGAUGGGUCGGCGUCUGAUUAGCUAGUUGGUGAGGGAAAGGCUCACCAAGGCGACGAUCAGUAGCCGGCCUGAGAGGGGGAACGGCCACAUUGGGACUGAGACACGGCCCAAACUCCUACGGGAGGCAGCAGUGGGGAAUCUUCCGCAAUGGGCGAAAGCCUGACGGAGCAAUGCCGCGUGAGUGAAGAAGGCCUUCGGGUUGUAAAACUCUGUCCUUAUCGAAGAGAGAGUGUUGUAGUAACUGACAAUACUAGGACGGUAGAUGAGGAGGAAGCCCCGGCUAACUAUGUG
rnacentral:rRNA from 1 species